rnacentral:rRNA from 1 species
AGAUGAGUGGCGAACGGGUGAGUAACGCGUGAGUAACUCCCCUUGGGGAGGGGGGAUAACCAUCUGAAAAGGUGGCUAAUACCCCAUAUUCUCUUUUCUCAUAAGAGGAAGGAGGAAAGGUGGCGCAAGCUGCCACCCCGAGAGAGGCUCGCGUCCCAUCAGCUAGUUGGUAGGGUAAUGGCCUACCAAGGCUAUGACGGGUAGCUGGUCUGAGAGGAUGGUCAGCCACACUGGGACUGAGACACGGCCCUGACUCCUACGGGAGGCAGCAGCGAGGAAUCUUGGGCAAUGGGCGAAAGCCUGACCCAGCGACGCCGCGUGGAGGAAGAAGGCCUUCGGGUCGUAAACUCCUGUUUGGGGAGAAGAACAAGAGAGAAGUUAAUAGCUUCUCUCUCUGACGGUAUCCCCGGAGAAAGCUCCGGCUAAUUACGUGCCAGCAGCCGCGGUAAUACGUAAGGAGCGAGCGUUGUCCGGAUUUACUGGGCGUAAAGGGCUCGUAGGCGGUAAUACAUGUCAGAUGUGAAAUCUUGUGGCUUAACCACAUCAAGCAUCUGAAACUGUAUAACUUGAGUGGAGGAGAGGUAAGUGGAAUUCCUAGUGUAGCGGUGAAAUGCGUAGAUAUUAGGAAGAAUACCAGUAGCGAAGGCGACUUACUGGCCUCUAACUGACGCUGAUGAACGAAAGCGUGGGUAGCAAACAGGAUUAGAUACCCUGGUAGUCCACGCCGUAAACGAUGAGUGCUAGGUGUUGGCGAGAGAUCGUCGGUGCCGCAGCUAACGCAAUAAGCACUCCACCUGGGGAGUACGACCGCAAGGUUGAAACUCAAAGGAAUUGACGGGGACCCGCACAAAGCGGUGGAGCAUGUGGUUUUAAUUCGAAGCAACGCGAAGAACCUUACCUAAACUUGACAUCCCAAUGACCAUCUAUGUAAUGUAGACUCUCUUCGGAGCAUUGGUGACAGGUGGUGCAUGGUUGUCGUCAGCUCGUGUCGUGAGAUGUUGGGUUAAGUCCCGCAACGAGCGCAACCCCUAUUGCUAGUAACCAUCAUUAAGUUGGGCACUCUAGUGAGACUGCCGUGGAUAACACGGAGGAAGGUGGGGACGACGUCAAAUCAUCAUGCCCCUUAUGUUUAGGGCUACACACGUGCUACAAUGGCUGUUACAAAGUGAAGCAACCCAGUGAUGGUGAGCAAACCACAUAAAAGCAGCCCCAGUUCGGAUUGUAGUCUGCAACUCGACUACAUGAAGUUGGAAUCGCUAGUAAUCGCGAAUCAGAAUG